GCACCACAAGGCGUGAAGCUUGCGGUUCAAUUGGAGUCAACGCCGGGAACCUUACCGGGGGCGACAGCAGGAUGAAGGCCAGGUUGAUGGUCUUGCUGGACGAGCUGAGAGGAGGCGCAUGGCCGUCGUCAGUUCGUGCCGUCACCCCCUCCUCUUAAGUGAGGUAACGAUCGAGACCCGCGCCCCUUGUUGCUAACAGACUCCAUCGGGGUCUGUGCACACUAGGGGGACCGCCGUCGAUAAGACGGAGGAAGGAGCGGGCCACGGCAGGUCAGUAUGCCCCGAAUCCCCCGGGCCACACGCGAGCUGCAAUGGCAGGGACAAUGGGUGUCGACUCCGAAAGGAGGAGGUAAUCUCUAAACCCUGCCUCAGUUGGGAUCGAGGGCUGAAACCCGUCCUCGUGAAUAUGGAAUGCCUAGUAAUCGCGCGUCAUCAUCGCGCGGUGAAUACGUCCCCGCUCCUUGCACACACCGCCCGUCGUUCCAUCCGAGUGGGGUUUGGGUGAGGCGUAGUCCUUGGUGGCUGCGUCGAACCCAGGUUCCGCAAGGAGGGAAAAGUCGUAACAAGGUAACCAAUCCCGCGGC
rnacentral:rRNA from 1 species